AGCUCUGGAUUUGUUUGUCCUACCUUUCCCUUUUGAAGGAACGUAUCUUGAAUGUGCCCAAACAUUUCCUCUUGGAAUAAAAACAAAAAACUGCGGAUGCUGGAAAUCCAAAAAAAUCCUUUUGGAAGGGAAUUACCUGCCCUUAACUUGGAGGAAAUGAAAAUGAACAGAAAGCAGUUCCAAACACACGAAUUGGAGCAAGUGCACACAACACAGAAAGCCUAACUGCCUGCUAUUGAUAACCCUUCAGUUAUUGGUCUAUGACUCGCAGUCAGAAAGAAAAUAAUCUAAUAAACUGUGCGAGAGAUUA